AAACUCAUGUUUGUAACCGGUUGCUAGUGCAUAGAAAUUAGGUGAUGGUUAGGAGAGAUGAUCAUGUGUUUGCCUGUCCUGCUCCUGAAUUUGAAGGGAAUUCUCUCCCAUUUCGAGUCAGGAUUCUCAUCAUAUACUACGUUGCUUCCAGCCUCUGCUGCUGUUGAAAAGUCUGAAGCCGUUGUGAUAACCAUGGUAAUAUGUGAC